GCCCCCGGCUCAACCGGGGAGGGUCAUUGGAAACUGGGGAACUUGAGUGCAGAAGAGGAGAGUGGAAUUCCACGUGUAGCGGUGAAAUGCGUAGAGAUGUGGAGGAACACCAGUGGCGAAGGCGACUCUCUGGUCUGUAACUGACGCUGAGGAGCGAAAGCGUGGGGAGCGAACAGGAUUAGAUACCCUGGUAGUCCACGCCGUAAACGAUGAGUGCUAAGUGUUAGGGGGUUUCCGCCCCUUAGUGCUGCAGCUAACGCAUUAAGCACUCCGCCUGGGGAGUACGGUCGCAAGACUGAAACUCAAAGGAAUUGACGGGGGCCCGCACAAGCGGUGGAGCAUGUGGUUUAAUUCGAAGCAACGCGAAGAACCUUACCAGGUCUUGACAUCCUCUGACAAUCCUAGAGAUAGGACGUCCCCUUCGGGGGCAGAGUGACAGGUGGUGCAUGGUUGUCGUCAGCUCGUGUCGUGAGAUGUUGGGUUAAGUCCCGCAACGAGCGCAACCCUUGAUCUUAGUUGCCAGCAUUCAGUUGGGCACUCUAAGGUGACUGCCGGUGACAAACCGGAGGAAGGUGGGGAUGACGUCAAAUCAUCAUGCCCCUUAUGACCUGGGCUACACACGUGCUACAAUGGACAGAACAAAGGGCAGCGAAACCGCGAGGUUAAGCCAAUCCCACAAAUCUGUUCUCAGUUCGGAUCGCAGUCUGCAACUCGACUGCGUGAAGCUGGAA
rnacentral:rRNA from 1 species